rfam:Avibacterium paragallinarum strain CL AvpgCL_contig_5, whole genome shotgun sequence.
GCUACAGCAAAUUCUGUAGCCGAGCCUGGAAACUCGAACAAUAUAUCAGUGGCGGAUAAAUGCACGCCUCUUAAUGCGUGUUUUUU